UUUAGAUUGUACCGAGCCUCCAUGGCUAGAUGAAAACGUCCUCCUCCGUUUUCUUCCGUGAAAACGCCCCCUGCGCAUCACACCAUCUCCUGGCAGCCACGUCACGGGACGAUGCGAGGAGGGGACGUGAGGACGUUAUGUGACGUGAGGUGGAGUCAGCGGCGUGUGGUAAACAUUACAGCCGCUUUGCAACACUUCCUGCUACGGCCCGCCACUCUGCAACGCUUCCUGGCGCUACUCAGCACUGUGUGAAGCUCUGGAUUGACCACCGAAGCUCUCUAAUGAUGGGUGAAGGCAGAGAGAGAUGAAAACAAGUGAAAGAAAAAAGGCAAUGAGAGAGAGAAUAAAGGGAAAAGAGAAAAUAGGAGAGACACAAGAAAGCGGGCAGUAGGAAAAAAAUCCAGAGAAAGAACGUAGAAGGACGAAUAGAGAGCUGCUUGUUUUUCAACGUUGAGUAUGUAACGUGAGCCUGGAUGGAAGAGGAGUAGGCUCCUAAUGGCAGGGAAAAUACAGAAACUUCCAGGCAAGGUAUACGAGGGGUUAAGGCAACAUCAAACUGAGGUCACAAAUCAGAA